rnacentral:ncRNA from 1 species
GUAAAAGCGUUGAUGGGGAAGAGUAGGUCUUGAUGUGUUAUCAGAGAGGGAGACUCACCGGCUGAAAGGUUUCCUUAGCAUUAGAGAUUGAAAACCACCCCGAAGCUCCGUCCGGAAAUCAAUCGAGAGUAUGGAUUGGCGUUUGCCGCGUUAAGGCAUCAAGUUGGGUUUAUACCAAUUUGGGUGGAACCGCGGAAGAUAGGCCUUUCGUCCCAUUA